AGAGCGAACGCUGGCGGAAUGCUUAACACAUGCAAGUCGCACGGGCAGCAAUGUCAGUGGCGGACGGGUGAGUAUCGCGUAGGAAUAUGUCCGGAGGUGGGGGACAACCCUGGGAAACUGGGGCUAAUACCGCAUAUGAGCUGAGGCUCAAAGCAGUGAUGCGCCUUUGGAGUAGCCUGCGUCCGAUUAGCUUGUUGGUGGGUAAAGCCUACCAAGGCGACGAUCGGUAGCUGGUCUGAGAGGACGACCAGCCACACUGGGACUGAGACACGGCCCAGACUCCUACGGGAGGCAGCAGUGGGAAUAUUGGACAAGUGGGCGCAAGGCCUGAUCCCGAAGCAAUUCCGCGUGGUGAAGAAGGUCUUCGGAUUGUAAAGCCCUUUGGACGGGACAUCGAUUGAACGGUACCCGUAGAAGAACGCCCGGACUAACUUCGUGCCAGCAGCCGC
rnacentral:rRNA from 1 species